rnacentral:rRNA from 1 species
ACUCCUACGGGAGGCAGCAGUAGGGAAUCUUCCACAAUGGGCGCAAGCCUGAUGGAGCAACACCGCGUGAGUGAAGAAGGGUUUCGGCUCGUAAAGCUCUGUUGUUAAAGAAGAAUACGUAUGAGAGUAACUGUUCAUACGUUGACGGUAUUUAACCAGAAAGUCACGGCUAACUACGUGCCAGCAGCCGCGGUAAUACGUAGGUGGCAAGCGUUAUCCGGAUUUAUUGGGCGUAAAGAGAGUGCAGGCGGUUUUCUAAGUCUGAUGUGAAAGCCUUCGGCUUAACCGGAGAAGUGCAUCGGAAACUGGAUAACUUGAGUGCAGAAGAGGGUAGUGGAACUCCAUGUGUAGCGGUGGAAUGCGUAGAUAUAUGGAAGAACACCAGUGGCGAAGGCGGCUACCUGGUCUGCAACUGACGCUGAGACUCGAAAGC